CACAGAGAGCUUGCUCUCGGGUGACGAGUGGCGGACGGGUGAGUAAUGUCUGGGAAACUGCCUGAUGGAGGGGGAUAACUACUGGAAACGGUAGCUAAUACCGCAUAACGUCGCAAGACCAAAGAGGGGGACCUUCGGGCCUCUUGCCAUCAGAUGUGCCCAGAUGGGAUUAGCUAGUAGGUGGGGUAACGGCUCACCUAGGCGACGAUCCCUAGCUGGUCUGAGAGGAUGACCAGCCACACUGGAACUGAGACACGGUCCAGACUCCUACGGGAGGCAGCAGUGGGGAAUAUUGCACAAUGGGCGCAAGCCUGAUGCAGCCAUGCCGCGUGUAUGAAGAAGGCCUUCGGGUUGUAAAGUACUUUCAGCGGGGAGGAAGGUGUUGUGGUUAAUAACCGCAGCAAUUGACGUUACCCGCAGAAGAAGCACCGGCUAACUCCGUGCCAGCAUCCGCGGUAAUACGGAGGGUGCAAGCGUUAAUCGGAAUUACUGGGCGUAAAGCGCACGCAGGCGGUCUGUCAAGUCGGAUGUGAAAUCCCCGGGCUCAACCUGGGAACUGCAUUCAAAACUGGCAGGCUCGAGUCUUGUAGAAGGGGGUAGAAUUCCA
rnacentral:rRNA from 1 species